rnacentral:lncRNA from 1 species
CUCCACACGCCCAUGUUUGCUCGAUUACAGAUAAUCUCUCUUGUGCACUGCGAAAGGUUUCGGAAUAGCCCUACCUUACUCCUUAGAACCAAAAGCCAGAUAGAUCUUGCUACUAGAAAACCGAAGGAGCACACAAAGCAACCUCAUUGUCACCAAGAUAGAGAUGGAAGGUUUGAUUUUCUUUCACGAACUUCAUUUCUUUACCAGUUGUGAGAAACUAAGGCUGCGCAUCCCCAGAU